rnacentral:lncRNA from 1 species
ACCACGCCGCGAUCAGUGACGAGCAUCUGGCUCUGGCUGCUGCUGAAACCAGCUUGUGUUUUGAACGCUUCCAGUGUUCCUUUUACCAGCUGCUUCUUCGUGGUUUUCGACUGCCGUUUAUUUAUACCGUGGCUACUGCCCAGGCUAAGGGGGAAAAAAAACCAAACAAACUCAACCCUAACAACCCAAGGAGCAGUUGGGGUGCUCCAGCUUGCUCUGUUAGGAAAUAUUACUUUGGUUCUGCAGGCUUCAAAGCUGAGAGAGCAGUGGACCAUCCUACAUGAUAAAAUACUUGUAUCGGAGCCCCUGAUCAUCACAUCCUUCCCCUCCCCUCGUCCAUUCCGUCCUAGAAGACUCGAUGCACGGCUGCAGAUAGAAAACAAGGCGGCCUCUUCCUGUAGAAGCUACAGGUUUCUCCUGUCAUGGGAUUCCUUUAUGGCCUGCACAAAUGCUGCUAAGAAGUUUAGAAAAGUAUUUUAAAUUAAAACCAAGAAAAUUAAGCUACAUGGUGUAGAAAAGAUAAAUUUGCGUAAGCAUUCCAUGGACAACCUUGAAAUAUGGAAUAUUUCCUCAAAUAACCCAAGUACAUUGUAAUGCAUGAAUCUAUUCUAUGUAUUUGUAUGCUGCUGUCAUAUCUACAAGGAUUCUAUGUAAAUUUUGCCAUAAUAAAAAUUUAUUCUAAGUAGUCUUUGAAGCUAAU